UGAAUUAUGUCAGCGUAGAGAAUAUUUAACAUUUUCCUGCGAGAUGUGACAAAAUGAAAUACCGUAGGGAAGUUUAGCAUGUAGGAGUUGUGUGCGCAUGAUUUCACAUUAUAUUUGUGGCUGAACAUGAGGACGCAGCUGUUGACAGCUUCAGCAUUGUUUGCCGUAAACAACAUCCUUCCUCCCAUCGAGGAUGCUGCACACAUACCUUGGUCACAUCUGGCACCUUUCCAUCCUGGGCUGCAGUAACAUGUUCCUGUUAUGUGGUCACAAGUGGAAUUGUGGAGGCAGUCACAAACCUGGCGGCACCCAUAGCCAUAAGUUCCAGAUGGGCAUUCUGCAGAGGUCAAACAGCACCAAGAAGAGAUUACACAAAUUCCUCUUCCAAUGACUGUGGUGAACUAGAAAACUGUAAAGAUUAUACUGAGUAGCCAUGUCCUGUAUGAUGGGCUCCUGUGACAGAGCUUCAACAGAAAACAAUACUUGCCUUCAUU